AAAUUGAAGAGUUUGAUCAUGGCUCAGAUUGAACGCUGGCGGCAGGCCUAACACAUGCAAGUCGAACGGUAACAGGAAGCAGCUUGCUGCUUUGCUGACGAGUGGCGGACGGGUGAGUAAUGUCUGGGAAACUGCCUGAUGGAGGGGGAUAACUACUGGAAACGGUGGCUAAUACCGCAUAACGUCGCAAGACCAAAGAGGGGGACCUUCGGGCCUCUUGCCAUCAGAUGUGCCCAGAUGGGAUUAGCUUGUUGGUGAGGUAACGGCUCACCAAGGCGACGAUCCCUAGCUGGUCUGAGAGGAUGACCAGCCACACUGGAACUGAGACACGGUCCAGACUCCUACGGGAGGCAGCAGUGGGGAAUAUUGCACAAUGGGCGCAAGCCUGAUGCAGCCAUGCCGCGUGUAUGAAGAAGGCCUUCGGGUUGUAAAGUACUUUCAGCGGGGAGGAAGGUGUUGUGGUUAAUAACCACAGCAAUUGACGUUACCCGCAGAAGAAGCACCGGCUAACUCCGUGCCAGCAGCCGCGGUAAUACGGAGGGUGCAAGCGUUAAUCGGAAUUACUGGGCGUAAAGCGCACGCAGGCGGUCUGUCAAGUCGGAUGUGAAAUCCCCGGGCUCAA
rnacentral:rRNA from 1 species